rnacentral:lncRNA from 1 species
UCCUUUCUAAUCAUGCUCUCACCCUUGGUGCGAUUCGUCUACAGACCAACUUGCAGUGAUUAACCCUUGGUGUUCAUCAACGUCCAAUGAUUAAUCCUUUCAAACGAAUCAUUACUCCCUAAACGAAUCUUCAAACGAAUCUUCACAGUGAAUCUGCAAACGUUUUGAGUAAGUUACUGAAAUUGUUUUAUGGGUUUGAUGAAAUUCAAUGUUUUGAUUAAGACUUUAGGGUUCUAGUAUUCAAAUCUUGAAGGGGGUGAAUCAAAUUUGGAACAGUUAGACUAUUGUUUCAUGUUAAAGUAAUUUGAACAAAUUUGUUGAAACUUUAAGUAGAUCUGCUAUCCUGCUAUAAUUUUUUGUACUCCAUUGUUAACAUAUAAGUCCAAUUUUGACUUUUUUAAGUCAAUUCAUGUAGCUUUGUGGUUUUAUCACUACAUUUUUUUUUUAAUUUAUUUAUUUUACACAGCAAAUUUAUAUAGACAAACUAUUAGUCAUUUUGUGGCUU